GAAGCUGACCUGCGAUCGACAGAAGGUCGCUAUGUCUCCUCUGAAACAAUACCGGACGUGAACUUGGAAAGUGAUGAUCCUUCCUCUCAAGGACACACAGAACAAAGUAGUGUAAAUAGGCCGGCAGAGAGCAUGUUGAGUCUGGUUCAAGAGUCAGCCAGUGAGCCAGCUGAUUCGAAUAUAAUGGUUGUGAGGGAAGAGACACCGU